rnacentral:rRNA from 1 species
AUUGAACGCUGGCGGCAGGCUUAACACAUGCAAGUCGAGCGAGCGGCGGACGGGUGAGUAAUGUCUGGGAAACUGCCUGAUGGAGGGGGAUAACUACUGGAAACGGUAGCUAAUACCGCAUACCAUCAGAUGUGCCCAGAUGGGAUUAGCUAGUGGGUGGGGUAAUGGCUCACCUAGGCGACGAUCCCUAGCUGGUCUGAGUGGAUGACCAGCCCAACUGGAACUGAGCAACGGUCCAGACCCCUACGGGAGGCAGUGGGGGGGAAUAUUGGACAAUGGGCGCAAGCCCGAUGGAGCCAUUCCGGGUGGGUGAAGAAGGCCUUCGGGUUGUAAAGCACUUUCAGCGAGGAGGCGUUACUCGCAGAAGAAGCACCGGCUAACUCCGUGCCAGCAGCCGCGGUAAUUC